rnacentral:rRNA from 1 species
GACGAACGCUGGCGGCGUGCUUAACACAUGCAAGUCGAACGGAAAGGCCCUGCUUUUGUGGGGUGCUCGAGUGGCGAACGGGUGAGUAACACGUGAGUAACCUGCCCUUGACUUUGGGAUAACUUCAGGAAACUGGGGCUAAUACCGGAUAGGAGCUCCUGCUGCAUGGUGGGGGUUGGAAAGUUUCGGCGGUUGGGGAUGGACUCGCGGCUUAUCAGCUUGUUGGUGGGGUAGUGGCUUACCAAGGCUUUGACGGGUAGCCGGCCUUAGAGGGUGACCGGCCACAUUGGGACUGAGAUACGGCCCAGACUCCUACGGGAGGCAGCAGUGGGGUAUAUUGCACAAUGGGCGGAAGCCUGAUGCAGCAACGCCGCGUGCGGGAUGACGGCCUUCGGGUUGUAAACCGCUUUCGCCUGUGACGAAGCGUGAGUGACGGUAAUGGGUAAAGAAGCACCGGCUAACUACGUG